UACGAAGGGGGCUAGCGUUGUUCGGAAUCACUGGGCGUAAAGGGCGCGUAGGCGGCUUUGUAAGUCGGGGGUGAAAGCCUGUGGCUCAACCACAGAAUUGCCUUCGAUACUGCAUGGCUUGAGACCGGAAGAGGUUAGUGGAACUGCGAGUGUAGAGGUGAAAUUCGUAGAUAUUCGCAAGAACACCAGUGGCGAAGGCGGCUAACUGGUCCGGAUCGUGACGCUGAGGCGCGAAAGCGUGGGGAGCAAACAGG
rnacentral:rRNA from 1 species